rnacentral:rRNA from 1 species
GAUGAACGCUGGCGGCGUGCUUAACACAUGCGAGUCGAACGGUGAAGGCGGAGCUUGCUCUGCUGGAUCAGUGGCGAACGGGUGAGUAACACGUGAGCAAUCUGCCCCUGACUCUGGGAUAAGCGCUGGAAACGGCGUCUAAUACUGGAUACGAGCUGCGAAGGCAUCUUCAGCAGCUGGAAGGAAUUUCGGUCAGGGAUGAGCUCGCGGCCUAUCAGCUUGUUGGUGAGGUAAUGGCUCACCAAGGCGUCGACGGGUAGCCGGCCUGAGAGGGUGACCGGCCACACUGGGACUGAGACACGGCCCAGACUCCUACGGGAGGCAGCAGUGGGGAAUAUUGCACAAUGGGCGAAAGCCUGAUGCAGCAACGCAGCGUGAGGGACGACGGCCUUCGGGUUGUAAACCUCUUUUAGCAGGGAAGAAGCGAAAGUGACGGUACCUGCAGAAAAAGCGCCGGCUAACUACGUG